rnacentral:rRNA from 1 species
GGCUCAGGAUGAACGCUGGCGGUAUGCCUAACACAUGCAAGUCGAACGAUGUCUUCGGACAUAGUGGCGGACGGGUGAGUAACGCGUGAGAAUCUGCCUCUAGGAUGGGGAUAACGGUUGGAAACGACCGCUAACACCCAAUAUGCCGUAAGGUGAAAAAUUUAUUGCCUGGAGAGGAGCUCGCGUCUGAUUAGCUAGUUGGUGGGGUAAGAGCUCACCAAGGCUUCGAUCAGUAGCUGGUCUGAGAGGAUGAGCAGCCACACUGGGACUGAGACACGGCCCAGACUCCUACGGGAGGCAGCAGUGGGGAAUUUUCCGCAAUGGGCGAAAGCCUGACGGAGCAAUACCGCGUGAGGGAGGAAUGCCUUUGGGUUGUAAACCUCUUUUCUCAGGGAAGAAGAUCUGACGGUACCUGAGGAAUAAGUAUCGGCUAACUCCGUGCCAGCAGCCGCGGUAAUACGGAGGAUGCAAGCGUUAUCCGGAAUCAUUGGGCGUAAAGCGUCCGCAGGUGGUUUCCAAAGUCUGCUGUUAAAGACUGGAGCUCAACUCCGGAACGGCGGUGGAAACUUGGAAACUAGAGUUCGGUAGGGGUAGCAGGAAUUCCCAGUGUAGCGGUGAAAUGCGUAGAUAUUGGGAAGAACAUCGGUGGCGAAGGCGUGCUACUGGACCGUAACUGACACUCAGGGACGAAAGCUAGGGGAGCGAAAGGGAUUAGAUACCCCUGUAGUCCUAGCUGUAAACGAUGGAAACUAGGUGUGGCUUGUAUCGACCCGAGCCGUG